UACGUAGGGACCAAGCGUUGUUCGGAUUUACUGGGCGUAAAGGGCGCGUAGGCGGCAUGACAAGUCACUUGUGAAAUCUCUGGGCUUAACCCAGAACGGCCAAGUGAUACUGUCGCGCUAGAGUGCGGAAGGGGCAAUCGGAAUUCUCGGUGUAGCGGUGAAAUGCGUAGAUAUCGGGAGGAACACCAGUGGCGAAGGCGACUACCUGGCCUGUUUUUUGACGCUGAGGCGCGAAAGCUAGGGGAGCAAACGGGG
rnacentral:rRNA from 1 species